GAAAGAUAAACCGUCGCGUGUAUUAAAAUACGAAUUUAUUUUGCUUUAUAUUUCUACUCUGGAGAUUUAGAUGGGUGAGUCCUUAAUUAACCCCACUGAGACAGGAAGCACCACAGACUGACAACUAUUGAGGAGAAAUGAUGGGAAAGAAAGCAACAAUGAAUAGGCUACAAGCAGAAGAAAAAAAGGAGAAGGUGAAGACAGCAGACUACAGGAGCAUGAGUUGCAUUCCUGACCCUGACUUUAGCCGAAAGAUGGAGAGGAAUGUGUGAGGACCCACGCACACACAAAGUUUCAGCAGGUGAAGAAUCUGGAAAUCCAGUGUCUAUGUAGUUCAUGACUGACAUCUCAAUGAAGACAGAGGGGGGAAGGGGUACGAGGUCAGAAGACCUGAUCCGAAAGGGCUGAAAUGGAAAGACGUUUUGAUAUGGAUGGCUAUCAAGUGACAGUUUGAUAUGGAGGAAAAAGGAAAAGCAAAUGAGCGGACAUUUGUUAUAGUUGUGGUAAAAAUAGGCAGAGAAAAAAGGGACUAUGGGAGUUGAAGUCUUCUGAG
rnacentral:lncRNA from 1 species